GAUGAACGCUGGCGGCGUGCCUAAUACAUGCAAGUCGAGCGAACGGACGAGAAGCUUGCUUCUCUGAUGUUAGCGGCGGACGGGUGAGUAACACGUGGAUAACCUACCUAUAAGACUGGGAUAACUUCGGGAAACCGGAGCUAAUACCGGAUGAUAUUUUGAACCGCAUGGUUGAAAAGUGAAAGACGGUCUUGCUGUCACUUAUAGAUGGAUCCGCGCUGCAUUAGCUAGUUGGUAAGGUAACGGCCUACCAAGGCAACGAUGCAUAGCCGACCUGAGAGGGGGAUCGGCCACACUAGAGCUGGGACACGGUCCAGGCUCCUACGGGAGGCAGCAGUAGGGAAUCUUCCGCAGUGGGCGAAAGCCUGACGGAGCAACGCCGCGUGAGUGAUGAAAGUCUUCGGAUCGUAAAACUCUGUUAUUAGGGAAGAACAGAUGUGUAAGUAACUGUGCACAUCUUGACGGUACCUAAUCAGAAAGCCACGGCUAACUACGUG
rnacentral:rRNA from 1 species